GUGGCUACCCAGCAAGGUAAUUUUCUGCUCUGAAGUUCUCUCAUGGAACUUGGGUGGGAUUGGCGAACGUGCUAGGUGGAGUACGUGCCACUGGAUGGCCAUGUUAGUGGGCAGAAUCUCCUCUCCUUCAGACACAAACUUGGGUUUGGCAAGGAACUGGGUCAAUACUACUAUCCUUUGGCUUUGCAAUGGUGAUUUAGAUAGUUUUGUUUUUCCAAAUCAUGGUAGUUUAGUUAAUUUGUUAACAGGCGCUUCAGUCAGGACUAAUAGUCGAGAGUGGUCGAUCGGAUUGAAUUUGACAGAGGACAACACAAUUUUGUUAUAAUUGGUGGUUUAGUUAGUUUUAGUGAAAUGGUUCAUUGGCUCAACUCCUAUUUAGCUUACUAUAGUAUAGUCGUGUGGAUUGUCGAUGAUGAAUAAUACCCAAUGCAUUGCUUUCUGUUGCCCAGUAUGCUACAGUUUAAUAUGCAGAACUAGAGCUUUUUUUGCCAAGAAAGUGUUUGUUAAUUCCCAUAGGGAGUAAUUCGUGAUCAUUGAUACUUCAUCUGUUUAUGUUGCAGAGACAUGGUCACAUGGAUGAUUCUCAUCUUUUGGCAAAAACAUGUUAAAUCACUAAAGGAAUACUACUGCACCUAUGACUAUGAUCGUAGAUGUCCACUGCUGAUUUUUUAGGACCAGUUUAGGAUGUGAUCAUUAGUGCGGAUUCAAAGCUGCUUGACAUGAUUUUUACUAAUCUGAACAUCGGGCCUAAGCAAUGUUAAGUAGACUUCAUUGAAUUCUUAAUAAGGAAAUUACACAACCUGAUGUGUCUGCCAUAGGAUUAGUGUUGUUUGAAGAAUUUCUUCUUACCAAUCAGGCUGAUGCUUUAACUGUUGAUGCAGACCCGUGCCGGAUGUUCAUCAGCAACGCUAGUCAGGGGUUCAGGCUCCUGUGGAACUCAUGGCAUCAGUCAUAUGAACCUUCAUGUAUUUGAUAGUUUUCUCGAUCACUUUUAUGCCCUCAACUACAGCUAAGGCUACCCCACAAGUUCAUUGAGAUUUGUUUUUUAUAGGACUUGGAUUAAUAAUCUCCAACAAUAUGGUCAUUGCUUCUUAUAUAUACUUUCAGUUCUAAAUACAUUUCAGAUUUUCUUUAUCCUGUACUACUAAACUAUGUGUGCUAAACCAAACAUGGCAUCUGCGUCUUUUUAUGCAUGCAUGUUUCAAGACAAUAUAUCUAAUAUGUAGUAUACAGAAAGGUACCUAAAUAUUAGCUUAUAUUGCCAACUCUUGAAAAUAUACGGUCCCUGUACAUUUUUUGCCGAGAACCUGGGGAGCUUGGGACGAAGUAUGGUGUCAAUAAUCAGUAUAUACCAGAACAAUAUUUCAACACCGAUGUCACUUGCCACAGUACUUCCUUCACUGCCAAUCUAGCCGCAAACUCUGUUUGUCCUCGAAUCUAGCUCCACAAAGGUUGUGCUUUGCCAUGCAUCUAAAAGUAAGGUUACUAUCAUAAUUAAUUAGUAGAGCUUCUUCUCUAUUCAAAUUGAAUUUGAUAAGCAACAAAGUCCUAUGUGUCAUGCUUCAAUUAUAUGGCUCGAGCCGGCCAAACCUGAAAUGUUCGGUGAAGAUUCAAAGUACAUCUAGAUUACUUUGUGUUGCCCACAAUCCUAUUACUUGAUUUUUUUUGAGCUAACUAUAUCUAUGGAUAAAUUUGCAAGAUGAUGCAAAAAAAUUGCUUGCAGGUAGGCUGUGUACAGAGAUGCAUGUUGUGAGUUCAUAACAAUUUUACAAUAUUGAGAUUUGUUUAGAUGCUUCUAAGCAGUGCUAUAGCAGAACGGUGCUCCAUUUCCUUACUGUUGUUGCUAAAUAUUUGUUUUGUGGCAUAUUAGGACUGAACGGCAUCAUGCUAACAACCUCACCCUAGGAGUCCACUUCUUCACGGUCAUGGCAUCUGCCUCCACCAAUUAUCUAGAGUUAAGUUCCAGAGACAAUUGGGGAGGUCAACUUUGAGCUGCAGCACUCUAUGUGUUCACGCAAUCGGAACGCCCAAAAUAUCAUGCCAAUAUGUGAUUUAUGCCUUUUCUGUUAGGAUUAUCUCCCUUCUCCACGGAUAAAUUGCUUGAUGUGUUCAAUGGUCCGGUUUUCCCUAAAUGUUAAACACUAAAAAGGCCUGAGUGGAUUAUCUCCCUUCUCCACGGAUAAAUUGCUUGAUGUGUUCAAUGGUCCGGUUGAAUUGGAAACAAGCAUGCUACAAAUCAAAUAGUUAUUUGAUAAGGCAUUUGAUGAGCUCCUGUCAUUCUAAUCUACUUCCCACAUUUUACAGCUGAUGUUAUUUAGUACUCUGUAGUGAGCCUAAGAAAUAGUACUAUGGGGAGAAGCAGGCAACACGUAAUAUGUGUGUCAUUUGAGAAAAAUGAAACUUCCAACUUUCCAACUGUUCAUUGCAUAUUACAUGUAAAAGACACUAUCUUAGACAAAUACAUGAUUCACCAGGUUCAAUGAAAGUUAGCUUAAAUACCAUGUAUUUUUCUGCACAUGGAUUAUUGCCUAUUGUAGAUCAUCCUCUGUACAUUUGUUAGUCUAAUAGUCAAGCAGGACAAAAAAGUUCACUCCAGUAAUGCCUUUGCUCUACAAGAUCUGACAAUUGUUAAAACAACAAAUCACAGACUAAUGAUUUCAUUUGUUUGCGGGUAUAGGCACUGUAUUUUUCACUCUUAUGCAAAAAAAACUUUAAGUCGUGAUUUUUUUUUUCAUGAAAGAUCUCGAGGGUGAGACAAUUUUCAUCAUAUUCAGAGGAAUAUUAGCUUGAGUACCAUAUAGAGGGUGAGACAAGUGGUACUUGACAUAACAUGUCUCUUGUGUUAAUUUUCUUAUUCAGGUGGCACACUACGUGUAGCAAACUCAUUCAUAGUAAAGAAAUGAAUGGUAUCAUUUCUCAUGCCACGGAAGUAUGGUCUGAAGUUGCCUUACUCUGAGGACCUUCUUUCAACAUCUAUGACCUGAAUAGCAAAAUUAUGGCAACAGCAGUCACGUCAGGCAUAAUACAACGCACAGGGCCAUCAACUAGCUCCAUAAAUCUUAAUCUCAUUUUCUGUGAUUGUUGGUUUGCUAUAUAAGUCAUUGAUGAUGAAAGAAUGUAGAAACCACGUGUUGGGUACAAUAUUUAACCAUACAAUUUCUUCUAGAAACCAUCAUAAUCCAUGCCUCCCCCUACUUUUCUUACAGCAAACUAAUAGAUCUCAACUAACCACAAGCUUAGCCUGUGGUAUACUGCAUAAAUAUCUAGCUUAUGGAAAGCCUGGUAAGUGGAGCACUGGAGCGCCUUCUAACUAGCAGAGCCCAAUUCACUGUUUUGUACAUAGAUGAGAAAUUUGCUUGCUGCCACUCAUCUAAUAUCAAUGUUUCUGUUCCAUGUGGAACUAACAGUUCACAUCUCCAGCUCUACUGCUUUGUUGUUGUACACAAAAGCUUUUGUAACCACGAUGCUGAUAUACCUAUGAUAGUUCAUUCUUCGCAAACAAGAAAUUCUACAUGCUGCGGAGAACCACAUCUACAACAGAUCAGGUUACUUGGUGUGAACAAAUUGGAUGGGCCACAACUUAGUUUGUCUCACGUGAGUUUACACUAUUACAAAAAAUUACUACAGAUGUAGAACAAGCCAGUGGGAAUUUGUGUCUUGACUAUCUGUCAUAUUUUAUAACUAUCAUACUUUGUAGUGCUUAUUAUAAUGGGGGAUAGAUUCUGAGAUGUACUACUAUUAUAAUGGCGGAUUUUCUUAGUCAACUCAUGUAUGCAUAUUUAAUUUUGUGGAAUUUAAUUAUAA